AUGUUUGAUAUUGACACACAAGUUGAUACAGUUGUAGCUUGUUGUGUUUUGCACAAUUUCAUAAGACUACACAAUGGAGAUAUGAAAUUGCCUGACAGAGCUACAAUGGAUAUUAAUGAAAGCAAUAUGCAUGAUGUACCAGAUGGAGAUGCCAAAUACAAAAAAGAUGUGAUGAUAUUUAACAACUUGAGACAAUCUGGAAAUGAGAUGCGAGAUGCAAUGGCAAUGCAAAUGUGGGCAGAUUACAUUGCCAGAAGAUAA
rnacentral:rRNA from 1 species